GUUGUUGAAGGAUCAGCUUGCUCAAAGCUUUCAAACACAGACUCCCAUUUGCUCGGAUCAAUUCCUACAGAAGAAGACAAUUUCUUAUGAAGCAUUAUGCGAAAUGAAUGUAAAAUUGUCUAGGUGCUUGGAAAAAUUAAUCAUCAUACCACAGCCAGUAUCAUCAACUUCAAACCAAAGAACAAUUCUGUCAUCUUUCUUGGAGGUUCUCAUCUCAUGGUUUCCGUGUUGCUUCAACUUUGUUUUGACCGCAGAAGACGAUUCCUUCUGAUCAAGGGGCAACUUCAUUGUGUCACUAAAUGUAUUGGGUCUCUCACACCAUCCUCGCAGUAUUAUGUGGCCCGCUCUGUUUUAGAAGAUCUUCAAAUGAUGAAAAGGACAGCAUACCAGACAGAUCAAGAACAGUCUCCACAUUGUGGUUUAUGCGCUGGACAGAGAACAUAUCCACAAGGCCUUCAAGUUCUCUCCCCAAGUCAAACUCAGCUUCUUCUAGUACUAGUUUUCCUGAUUCAACCUGUAAUAAUUUAUGAAAAAACAAAAAAAUUAUUUUCACGGCAAUUGUAAUUAUUUAUAAGAGAAUUAGUUCCAGAUUAAUAGUUUAUUUUGCAACUCUUAAAA